rnacentral:rRNA from 1 species
AGUUUGAUCCUGGCUCAGGACGAACGCUGGCGGCGUGCUUAACACAUGCAAGUCGAACGGAAAGGCCCUGCUUUUGUGGGGUGCUCGAGUGGCGAACGGGUGAGUAACACGUGAGCAACCUGCCCUUGACUUUGGGAUAACUUCAGGAAACUGGGGCUAAUACCGGAUAGGAGCUCCUGCUGCAUGGUGGGGGUUGGAAAGUUUCGGCGGUUGGGGAUGGACUCGCGGCUUAUCAGCUUGUUGGUGGGGUAGUGGCUUACCAAGGCUUUGACGGGUAGCCGGCCUGAGAGGGUGACCGGCCACAUUGGGACUGAGAUACGGCCCAGACUCCUACGGGAGGCAGCAGUGGGGAAUAUUGCACAAUGGGCGGAAGCCUGAUGCAGCAACGCCGCGUGCGGGAUGACGGCCUUCGGGUUGUAAACCGCUUUCGCCUGUGACGAAGCGUGAGUGACGGUAAUGGGUAAAGAAGCACCGGCUAACUACGUGCCAGCAGCCGCGGUGAUACGUAGGGUGCGAGCGUUGUCCGGAUUUAUUGGGCGUAAAGGGCUCGUAGGUGGUUGAUCGCGUCGGAAGUGUAAUCUUGGGGCUUAACCCUGAGCGUGCUUUCGAUACGGGUUGACUUGAGGAAGGUAGGGGGAGAAUGGAAGUCCUGGUGGAGCGGU